CAGAGGAGAGAAAACCAGAGGCCGCGGCAGGUAGCAGGAGAAGCACUGAGGUUGGGGCGGAUGCGCGGGGGGCGGGGCGGGGGAGCUUAGGCAGAGAGAAGGGCAAAAAGUCAGGCUAGGAGAUACAGACAGGCUGAAGAACAGGCAGAUGGACGGGAGGUGGACAGACAUAUGUGUAUGGGAUGGACAGAUGGACAGACGAAUGGACAGACUCACUGGGACAGUCAGCGGGCACUGGGCAGGACCCAACAGAGCCAAGAAGAGAAAGGGCAGGCUGGCCAGGAGCGCCUGUGUGAUCAGCAGCUCUGUGUCAAGCCUGCGUGAUUGAAGGGCUGGGACCCCGAGCCAGGCCAUCAGCUCAGCUGAGGGUGGUAGGACUUGGUCUCCCUCCACGCUUCUCAGGGGCCCGAAUGGAGGGGCUGAGGCAAAGGCUGGGGGGGCAGGGCAUCCCCUCCUCAGUGACACCAGUGGUGGUGAAGUCAUACAGCGUGCACAUCUGGUUGCCAUGGAGACUGGGCAAGCCUCCUGGCAGAGGGAGGCUGAGUCAGUUUGAAUAAUGGCGGAGAGCACUGCCGCUGAUGGGGAAAAAUACAUCUUCAUAACAGGGUGAACCUUUUGGAAAAUGGAAUAAGUAAAAUAAUUGAGAGAAAGAAAAUUGAGUUUUUA
rnacentral:lncRNA from 1 species